UUGCUGACGAGUGGCGGACGGGUGNGUAAAGCUUGGGAAUCUGUCUUAUGAGGGGGAGUAACUACGGGAAACUGUAGCUAAUACCGCNUAAAAUCUGAGGNUAAAAGGGUAGGGCUCUUCGGACCACCUGCCAUAAGGUGAGCCCAAGUGAGAUUAGGUAGUUGGUGGAGUAAAGGCCUACCAAGCUGACGAUCUCUAGCUGGUCUGAGAGGAUGACCAGCCACACUGGAACUGAGACACGGUCCAG
rnacentral:rRNA from 1 species